AGGGAAACCGAGUCUUAACUGGGCGUUAAGUUGCAGGGUAUAGACCCGAAACCCGGUGAUCUAGCCAUGGGCAGGUUGAAGGUUGGGUAACACUAACUGGAGGACCGAACCGACUAAUGUUGAAAAAUUAGCGGAUGACUUGUGGCUGGGGGUGAAAGGCCAAUCAAACCGGGAGAUAGCUGGUUCUCCCCGAAAGCUAUUUAGGUAGCGCCUCGUGAACUCAUCUUCGGGGGUAGAGCACUGUUUCGGCUAGGGGGUCAUCCCGACUUACCAACCCGAUGCAAACUGCGAAUACCGAAGAAUGUUAUCACGGGAGACACACGGCGGGUGCUAACGUCCGUCGUGAAGAGGGAAACAACCCAGACCGCCAGCUAAGGUCCCAAAGUCACAGUUAAGUGGGAAACGAUGUGGGAAGGCUCAGACAGCCAGGAUGUUGGCUUAGAAGCAGCCAUCAUUUAAAGAAAGCGUAAUAGCUCACUGGUCGAGUCGGCCUGCGCGGAAGAUGUAACGGGGCUAAACUGUGCACCGAAGCUGCGGCAGCGACGCUUAUGCGUUGUUGGGUAGGGGAGCGUUCUGUAAGCCUGCGAAGGUGUCCUGUGAGGGAUGCUGGAGGUAUCAGAAGUGCGAAUGCUGACAUAAGUAACGAUAAUGCGGGUGAAAAGCCCGCUCGCCGGAAGACCAAGGGUUCCUGUCCAACGUUAAUCGGGGCAGGGUGAGUCGACCCCUAAGGCGAGGCCGAAAGGCGUAGUCGAUGGGAAACGGGUUAAUAUUCCCGUACUUGGUGUUACUGCGAAGGGGGGACGGAGAAGGCUAUGUUGGCCGGGCGACGGUUGUCCCGGUUUAAGCGUGUAG
rnacentral:rRNA from 1 species